UCAUUCCUGCAGGAUGCACAACAACUCUCCCUCUCAGUUUAGGAGGGCCGUCCUGAGAAAAAGACUGGCUCUUAAAGGCACGAGAGGACAAC
ensembl:snoRNA